rnacentral:tRNA from 1 species
GGCAACAUGCCCGAGUGGUUAAGGGGACAGACUUGAACCAAGCCGGUCUCCGAUCGGUGUAUUCUAAGGUAUCUGUUGGCUUCGGCCGCGUAGGUUCGAACCCUGCUGUUGUCG